CUGGGAAGGAGAGAGUGCACACCGCUCGCACCUAGGUCCAAGGGUGAGGGUGCCCCCCCCCCACCACCAGCACCACCCUCAGAGAGACCAGAGAGUGGGCUGCCCUGCCACUGGGAGCAGGGGCAGCAGAGCACAGGCCAGCAGCCCAGCACCCCCCAUCCCCCCACCUCCCACCUGCCCUGCAGAGCUGAGCUAGCUGGGAAAUGCCUAUUGCAGGUCAGACAUCUCGGGUGGGGUUGGACAUGCCCCUCCAGGAGACGAGUCAAGCCCUCAUCCUGGUGCUGCACUGCUGAGGAUCCCUGGUGAUCAAGCGGCAGUGUCAGGGGCUGAGGCUGGGGCAGGCUGCUCUCUCUGUCUCCGCCAGAGGCACUGUUGUGUCACAACUACCAGAGCAGUCCCUCUGAAGCCCCAAAGCCAGACCCAGAGGCCUGCCUGGGAGUGGGACUGAGAGCAGUGGCUCUGAGCAGAAGAUGGAGAUGGUCAAGGUAGGGCCCUGGGGCCAGACACCCAAGGAUUAAUUCUAUUCCUGGAGGGCCCAGUGGAGCAGGGCCAUUUGGGACGCCAGGAAGGUAGAAGGAGCACCGCUGCCAGGGCAUGUGGUGUCCCGGAAGAUGGCCAAGGCAGGCUGCCCAGAGUGGAAAGGAUGGCAACACGUGCCAGGCUGGGAUAGUGACUUGAAGAUGAGGAGCCUGGGCUGGGCGGGCCGCAGGCGGCAGGGAAGGCCCCACAUCGAGGGUUGCAAUCUUGUCAUCCAUAACUCUUAUAAGAAUGAGCCCUGGCCUGGAAGAGAGGCCAAAUGUCUAAUCAGCAGGCCUGGAACACCGCCGGUGCCAAGAAAGAGCCAAGCAGCCACUCCCUGGGGCUGGCUGCAGAUGAGGCCCUUGUGGUUUCCCCACUCACUGACUACGGGGAGGAGGGUGUGCAAGGACUUUGUCUGGGAAGAAUCUUUGCAUCUGUAGCUCAACAGGCUUCUCUCUCCAGGCCCCUGGGUUUCAAAAGACUGUGACUUCCACCUUGGUUUGCUCGGUCUGAUGAAGGAACUUUGAGCUGUGAGCUGCACUGUGAACUUUGCUGUGAGCUGCCCUGUGAUGGGAGAGGAGGCCUCCGCCUCACAGCCCUGGAGGACCUCAAUGCUGCCAACGUGUGACCAGAUGCAGAUCCUUCUCCAGUCAAGCCUGGACAUGACAUGACAGCAGCCCUGGGGACCUUGAUGCUGUGGCCUGUGCAAGACCCUGAGCCAGCCGCACCCAGAUCCCUCACCCACAGAAACUGCCAGAUUUUAAGUCUUCUGCUUGUAAGCCACUCUUUUUGCCAUAGUUUGUGUGCAGCAAUAGAUAACUGCUCUAGAGUUGUUAAA